CCUACGGGAGGCAGCAGUGGGGAAUAUUGGACAAUGGGCGGAAGCCUGAUCCAGCAACGCCGCGUGAGGGAUGACGGCCUUCGGGUUGUAAACCUCUUUCAGCACCGACGCGGUAGGUGCAGAAGAAGGACCGGCCAACUACGUGCCAGCAGCCGCGGUAAUACGUAGGGUCCGAGCGUUGUCCGGAAUUAUUGGGCGUAAAGGGCUCGUAGGCGGUUUGUCGCGUCGGGAGUGAAAACACCGGGCUUAACUCGGUGCUUGCUUUCGAUACGGGCAGACUGGAGGUAUGCAGGGGAGAACGGAAUUCCUGGUGUAGCGGUGAAAUGCGCAGAUAUCAGGAGGAACACCGGUGGCGAAGGCGGUUCUCUGGGCAUUCCUGACGCUGAGGAGCGAAAGUGUGGGGAGCGAACAGGAUUAGAUACCCUGGUAGUC
rnacentral:rRNA from 1 species